UGGCUCAGAUUGAACGCUGGCGGCAGGCUUAACACAUGCAAGUCGAGCGGGGGAAGGUAGCUUGCUACUGGACCUAGCGGCGGACGGGUGAGUAAUGCUUAGGAAUCUGCCUAUUAGUGGGGGACAACAUCUCGAAAGGGAUGCUAAUACCGCAUACGUCCUACGGGAGAAAGCAGGGGAUCUUCGGACCUUGCGCUAAUAGAUGAGCCUAAGUCGGAUUAGCUAGUUGGUGGGGUAAAGGCCUACCAAGGCGACGAUCUGUAGCGGGUCUGAGAGGAUGAUCCGCCACACUGGGACUGAGACACGGCCCAGACUCCUACGGGAGGCAGCAGUGGGGAAUAUUGGACAAUGGGGGGAACCCUGAUCCAGCCAUGCCGCGUGUGUGAAGAAGGCCUUAUGGUUGUAAAGCACUUUAAGCGAGGAGGAGGCUACUUUAGUUAAUACCUAGAGAUAGUGGACGUUACUCGCAGAAUAAGCACCGGCUAACUCUGUGCCAGCAGCCGCGGUAAUACAGAGGGUGCGAGCGUUAAUCGGAUUUACUGGGCGUAAAGCGUGCGUAGGCGGCUUAUUAAGUCGGAUGUGAAAUCCCCGAGCUUAACUUGGGAAUUGCAUUCGAUACUGGUGAGCUAGAGUAUGGGAGAGGAUGGUAGAAUUCCAGGUGUAGCGGUGAAAUGCGUAGAGAUCUGGAGGAAUACCGAUGGCGAAGGCAGCCAUCUGGCCUAAUACUGACGCUGAGGUACGAAAGCAUGGGGAGCAAACAGGAUUAGAUACCCUGGUAGUCCAUGCCGUAAACGAUGUCUACUAGCCGUUGGGGCCUUUGAGGCUUUAGUGGCGCAGCUAACGCGAUAAGUAGACCGCCUGGGGAGUACGGUCGCAAGACUAAAACUCAAAUGAAUUGACGGGGGCCCGCACAAGCGGUGGAGCAUGUGGUUUAAUUCGAUGCAACGCGAAGAACCUUACCUGGCCUUGACAUACUAGAAACUUUCCAGAGAUGGAUUGGUGC
rnacentral:rRNA from 1 species